CAGUAAUUAGUUUAAUUAAAAAAUUUAAGUUUUGGGUAUUUAAGAUAAUUAUGUUUUAUUACUGA
rnacentral:tRNA from 1 species